rnacentral:rRNA from 1 species
AUUGAACGCUGGCGGCAGGCCUAACACAUGCAAGUCGAGCGGAUGAAGGGAGCUUGCUCCUGGAUUCAGCGGCGGACGGGUGAGUAAUGCCUAGGAAUCUGCCUGGUAGUGGGGGAUAACGUCCGGAAACGGGCGCUAAUACCGCAUACGUCCUGAGGGAGAAAGUGGGGGAUCUUCGGACCUCACGCUAUCAGAUGAGCCUAGGUCGGAUUAGCUAGUUGGUGGGGUAAAGGCCUACCAAGGCGACGAUCCGUAACUGGUCUGAGAGGAUGAUCAGUCACACUGGAACUGAGACACGGUCCAGACUCCUACGGGAGGCAGCAGUGGGGAAUAUUGGACAAUGGGCGAAAGCCUGAUCCAGCCAUGCCCGUGUGUGAAGAAGGUCUUCGGAUUGUAAAGCACUUUAAGUUGGGAGGAAGGGCAGUAAGUUAAUACCUUGCUGUUUUGACGUUACCAACAGAAUAAGCACCGGCUAACUUCGUG